AAGACACUAGUAAAAUGACACAUUACACCGCCUCGUCAAGGCAGCAUCGUGGGUUGAAACCCCGCGUGUCUUA
rnacentral:tRNA from 1 species